UACGUAAGGUCCGAGCGUUGUCCGGAAUCACUGGGCGUAAAGGGUUCGCAGGCGGAAAUGCAAGUCAGAUGUAAAAGGCAGUAGCUUAACUACUGUAAGCAUUUGAAACUGCAUAUCUUGAGAAGAGUAGAGGUAAGUGGAAUUUUUAGUGUAGCGGUGAAAUGCGUAGAUAUUAAAAAGAAUACCGGUGGCGAAGGCGACUUGCUGGAAUCUAACUGACGCUGAGGUACGAAAGCGUGGGGAGCAAAAAGG
rnacentral:rRNA from 1 species